GAUGAAGAACGCAGCGAAAUGCGAUAAGUAAUGUGAAUUGCAGAAUUCAGUGAAUCAUCGAAUCUUUGAACGCACCUUGCGCCCUUUGGCUAUUCCGAAGGGCAUGCCUGUUUGAGUAUCGUGAACACCUCAACUCUCAUGGUUCGCCAUGAUGAGCUUGGACUUUGGGGGUUUUGCUGGCCUUUGGUCGGCUCCUCUCAAACGGAUCAGCUUUCCAGUGUUUGGUGGCGUCACGGGUGUGAUAACUAUCUACGCCUGUGGUUUUCUGCCAGAUAACCUUCAGCGAUGGAGGUUCGCUGGGGCUCAUAAAUGUCUCUCUUCAGUGGAGACAGCUUUUUGGACGUUUGAUCUCAAAUCAGGUAGGACUACCCGCUGAACUUAAGCAUAUCAAUAAGCGGAGGA
rnacentral:misc_RNA from 1 species